CACAUUUCAUUGUGAAAACCUUCUAAUUUAUACCUUCAAUUAUUUAAAAGCCUUUAAAAGACCUAGGUAACAAACCUGUAUGUUCUGCACAUGUAUCCCAAAACUUAAAGUAAAAUUUAAAAAAUUAAAAUUAAAUUUUAAAAAACACUUCAAGGUUAAAUGUAUAUGAGCUCCUGUUACUGUUAACAUAUAUUGGAUUUAAUAUUCUUUUAUACAGAAUUAUGAUGCUUUCUGUUUUGCGUAACACCAAAACACCAGUGAAAUUCUGGUUGCUAAAAAAUUAUCUCUCACCGACAUUUAAAGAAGUAAUUCCUCACAUGGCUAAAGAGUAUGGAUUCCGAUAUGAACUAGUUCAAUAUAGGUGGCCCCGUUGGCUUCGUCAACAGACUGAAAGACAGAGGAUUAUUUGGGGUUACAAAAUUCUUUUCCUUGAUGUUCUUUUCCCACUAGCAGUGGACAAAAUCAUUUUUGUUGAUGCUGACCAGAUUGUGAGACAUGAUCUAAAAGAA
rnacentral:sRNA from 1 species